AGUAUUUUGACUAUACAAAGGUAUUGAAAUAAGACUUUAAUUGAGUGCUAAGAGAAUGGAAUUUCAUAAAAUUUCUUUUUUAAUUUUAAAAAUUGAAAUUAAUUUUAUAUGUGAAGAAACAAUAAUAAAAAUUAAGGACAAGAAGACCCUAAGAAUUUUAAAGAUUUCAAUACAAUUUUGUAUUUUAUUGAAAUCUUUUAAUUGGGGCGAUUAUUAAAUAUUAAAAACUUUAAUUUUUUUAAAAAAGAACCAAUAAUAUUGGUUAUUUGAAAAAAUACUCUAGGGAUAACAGCGUAAUAAUUUUUGAUAGUUCUUAUAGACAAAAUAGUUUGCGACCUCGAUGUUGGAUUAGGAUUCUUUUUUAAUGAAGAAGUUAAAAAAAGAAGUUUGUUCAACUUUUAAAAUCCUA
rnacentral:rRNA from 1 species